rnacentral:rRNA from 1 species
AGAUUGAACGCUGGCGGCAGGCCUAACACAUGCAAGUCGAGCGCGAAAGGUUUCGGACUGAGUAAAGCGGCGGACGGGUGAGUAACGCGUGGGAAUCUGCCUGGUAGUGGGGGACAACGUUCCGAAAGGAGCGCUAAUACCGCAUACGCCCUACGGGGGAAAGGGGGAUCUUCGGACCUCUCGCUAUCAGAUGAACCCGCGUCGGAUUAGCUAGUUGGUAGGGUAAAGGCCUACCAAGGCGACGAUCCGUAACUGGUCUGAGAGGAUGAUCAGUCACACUGGAACUGAGACACGGUCCAGACUCCUACGGGAGGCAGCAGUGGGGAAUAUUGGACAAUGGGGGCAACCCUGAUCCAGCCAUGCCGCGUGUGUGAAGAAGGCCUUAGGGUUGUAAAGCACUUUCAGUGGGGAGAAAAGUGGUUCACUUAAUACGUGAAUUAAUUGAUGUUACCCACAGAAGAAGCACGGCUAACUCCGCGCUAGCAGCCGC